UUAACUAAAGCCAAACUUAGAGGCACUCCAUUGUUAAUGGAUGAAUUGGAAUAAUCUUCCUAAUUAA
rnacentral:tRNA from 1 species